UGAGGAAUAUUGGUCAAUGGGCGAGAGCCUGAACCAGCCAAGUAGCGUGCAGGAUGACGGCCCUAUGGGUUGUAAACUGCUUUUAUGUGGGGAUAAAGUGCGUGACGUGUCAUGCAUUGCAGGUACCACAUGAAUAAGGACCGGCUAAUUCCGUGCCAGCAGCCGCGGUAAUACGGAAGGUCCGGGCGUUAUCCGGUUUUAUUGGGUUUAAAGGGAGCGUAGGCUGUCUAUUAAGCGUGUUGUGAAAUAUACCGGCUCAACCGGUGGCUUGCAGCGCGAACUGGUCGACUUGAGUAUGCAGGAAGUAGGCGGAAUUCAUGGUGUAGCGGUGAAAUGCUUAGAUAUCAUGACGAACUCCGAUUGCGCAGGCAGCUUACUGUAGCAUAACUGACGCUGAUGCUCGAAAGUGCGGGUAUCAAACAGG
rnacentral:rRNA from 1 species